UUUCCGUAGGUGAACCUGCGGAAGGAUCAUUAUUAUAUAACCUAGAUACGAAAACUGUCAAUUACCCGAAAGAUCGUUCACGCCCGAGUUCCCUCACAAACAUACAGCUCACCCAUAUAUACACGACCGCGUGGGUGCACCUUUGGCUAUAUUGGAGGAGGUGUUACGUUUUCACACAAACUUUGUAUUCAAUAUACAAUGUAUUUUUUGUUUUUGCUAUAACGCCAUCAAUACAACUUUCAACAACGGAUCUCGAAGCUAUCACAUCGGUGAAGAACA
rnacentral:misc_RNA from 1 species